GGCGAUGUCCUGGCCGGGCCCGUGGGGAGAGAAGCGGGUGUGGGCCAGGCAGGCAUGGGCCCCCCCAGAACUGGUUUCUUCCGGGGUCCCCCCCAGCGGUCAGGAACGAUGCUGACCGCGGCCAGGCACUGGGUGAAGCGCUUUAUGUGAGGCCCUGCGUGUCGCUCACAGCACGAGCAGAGAGGGCAGACACCCCAAGGCAGAGGCAAGGAGAUCACCCCUGAGAGACUGCCGGGGGCUCUGAGCCACUCGUCCAAAGUCAGGGCCGUGGAUGGGAGCUAAGCUUACUAAUAAUAAAGCCAGAUCGGAUUAAACGGGAGGGCCAGGCAGUGUCAGCCUCUCAUCGUGGUCCUGGCAGUUUAGGAAGGGACAGGAUCGUAGGUGAAGGUCUCGGCAUUUGGGUCCUCCCUCCAGUCCCAGCGGGCCCUGUGUGGCCCUUGGAGUGCGGCUCGGAUGUGCCAACCCUGUCCCGGCGUGCUCUCUACUCUCAGCCGUGAAGCCACGGCUCUGUGCCCACGUUCAUUCAAGAGCUGGCGGAUGACCUGGGGGUCGCCCGAGGACACACAGUGCUUUGGGACAGACCGCGUGGAUGCCCACCUGGAGGCCGACCGGGGAGGCUGCGCUUUCUUCCAGGGAGGGUUUGCCCGUGUGGCUUUCUCCCAGCCCCGCCGCCCAACGGAGUCCCAUCCUUCUCUCCCGGGGCCCCGCCUCCCGGAGGAGCUUCGCCCCUCCCACCGGAGGCCCCGCCCCGCCCGCCACCUGCCGCAGGCGCUGCUCCUCCUUGGUGUGGUCGGGCUGCCUCCGCAAACUCGCCAGCUCCAGCUUCAGGCUCUCCAGCCUCUGCUCCCGCCGUCGCACCAGGUGGAUCAGUACGUUGUGCACGUUCACGCGGUCGAAGACGUACUUUCGCAGCUUCUCCCGCGCCACCUGGGUCGGGGAGGGCACGGCCCGCGCGUGGGUGCGCAAGGGGCCGCGGGGACCGCGCACAGCGGGGCUGGCGGGGCGGGACCCCUGGGAUUGGGAACUCACUCUGCCCGCCACCGGCCCCGCAACGUGGUUUAGUGGUGGUGGUCGGGGUGGGGGGGGGCGGUGCGCUGGCCGGGCGAGGCCGAGGGAUCCCUCCUGCCACUUUACCUCCAUGGAGCAGCGGCAGUGCGCCAACCUCAUGGACAUGUCCUUCCCGCAGGCCUUGGAGAUGGUCUGCUGGUCAUACUGCAGAGCGGUGGUGGCUGAGCUGGGACCCCGGUCUCCCUGUGUACCCCCAGCCACCAGUCCCUCCCUCCAGGCAUUCUCCCCGGGCCUCUCUAGCCUGUGCUAGCCCAGCAGCGAGGGCCCAUCCAGGCUAUCCCAGCUCAGAAGUGAUGGGAGUCAGGAGAAGAGGACCCAGGUCUCCCCUACAUGGCCAGAGAGCCAGAGGGGCCCCUGCUGUAGGGGGAGCCCAGAAAAAGCUCCCCAUCAGGCCCACCCUGCCAUCUGGGGUGGGCGGUGGGGAACCUGCCCAUCGGGCUUGCUGGAGUGACAGGUCCUGGGGAGCCCCUCCCCAAGAUGCCCCCUGGCUCCUGAGAGGUAAGAGCGGAAAAAGGGGGAGGUCCUUGUUGUCCCCUUGUGUGUGGGCCUGUUUCAGCAUGUGCCCAUCCCCAGCCCGUGGUCAGCAGGGAGGGGGAGCAGGGCUGCUCACCUUCUUGGCCAGAGCCCAGUCCUGGGCCCCACGGCGGAUGGUGCUGUGCAGGAGAGCCAGCGUGGCUCUGUUCUUGACCGUCUUCUCCUUUACGGCCUGGAUCUGCAGUGCCCGGCAUUGCUCUGGUGGGGGGAGGGGGGGCACGGAGAUGCUCCUUCCUGCCCCCACUCGAGGGCCACAGGCUUCACUGCCCAGCAGUGCUUAUCUGGAUGGCUCUUAGUGAUGGCUGUGCUGUGCAGUGGGGGACGUGAGGUGGCAGCCAGAGGUGGGCGCGUCCUGUGAUCCCUUCCAGACCCAAUGGCCAGAGAACGUCCUCUCUGGCUUUGGGGCUCACUGUGCUCACAAAUCUCCGUGAAGCCCCCUGCAUGGCAGACCCUUUUGAUCCCUCCUCUCAGGUCUGUUGGGGGGGGGGUGGCCGCUAGCCCUUGUUUGCCCUGGACUGGCCCUGUGUUAGAUCUGAAAGCCCCUGGGCCCUGCAUGGGGCCAGGCAGGCUGGUCCGGGGGUGGUGGUGGGGGGACAGAGGGCUCACCCUGGAGCCGAGUGAUUGUCUUCAGCUCCUGGAUCUGCCCCUCCACAUCUGCCUCGCUGCAUGCCUUCAUGGUGGCCGUCAGGGUCCUCCAGGCCCCCGUGCAGCUCCCGCCCUCCCUGUCCUGGGCCUGUUCAACAGAGCCGCAAGCAGUUCACGUCCCCGGAAUCUCAGCCCAUUGUGAUGGGGGCCGAGAUUCUCAACCACGGGGCCCUGGAGAUCCCGGCCCUCCCUGCCCCCUUUCUGUGCCCCCCGCCAGCCUUGGGGUUGCCCCCUGCAUGCUCGGGUCAGCUGCUGUCUGCUCAGGAGCACUGCUGGGGUCAAGGCACUUUCCAUAAGGAAGUGAUUUGUGGUGAUUUGACACAGCACCCCGCGCCAGCCCCCUGUACCCUCCCCAUCCCCUCCAUACCCCAAGGCUGUCCUCCGCUGAGCCUCCUAAAACCUCUAAUCUCUGCCUUAUGGGAUCUCCAUUUCUUCACCCCACCCCAAGCUCAGAUUCCACACCCGGGGCGACCUGGCUCAUGAGACCUCAGCUGUCAGCCCGGACGACUUCACCCCGCCCUGACCUCCACCUGCUGCCUGGAGCCCGCCCUGCUCCACCUCCACGUUCCUGGGGCAAUUCCCGGGUCUAGUUUCGAUGCCGCUUACCCCAGGCGGGGUCGUGUGCAGCCCAAGCUUCCCGUGGGGUUAAGCACUCCGAACACCUGCCAGCCUGGGACCCUGAGGGAGGCACACCAGAUGGGUUGCUUUUUCCAGCGGCGCCGCAUGGAUUUGCAGGGGCCGCCACAGCCAAGUGGCAGGUGGCUGAAACAAUGGCAAUUGCUCGUCUCACAUCCUAGAGGCCAGGUGUUAGCAGAGCUGGCUCCUCCUCA